rnacentral:rRNA from 1 species
CGUACCCAGAUCAGACACUUGUAGGGUGGUAGAGAAUACCAAGGCGAUUGGGUUAACUAAUGGAUAAGGAACUUGGCAAAUUAGCGGGCGUACUUUCGAAAUAAGCCCUGCCUGCAGCAAUGUAGGCCGCAGCGAAUGACGUGGGGGGGACUGUUUAUCACAAACACAGCUCUCUGCUAACAUGUGAAUGGAUGUAUAGAGGGUGAUGCCUGUCCAAUGCCAGAAUGUUAAGCUCUCUUGUGCAAGCUCGAGAGUUAAGCACUGGUGAAUGACGGCCGUAACUAUGACGGUCCUAAGGUAGCGAAAUUCCUUGUCAGGUAAGUUCUGACGCGCAUGAACGGCAUAACCAUCCCCACACUGUCUUGUCCUUAGACCCAGUGAAAUUACAAUCCCGGUAAAAAUGCCGGGUAGUUGCAGUUAGACGGGAAGACCCCGUGAAGCUUUACUGUAAAUUGAUAUUGGGCUGUAGUAUGCGUUGCUCAGUAUAAGUGGGAGGCUUUGAUAGCUCAUCUUCGGGUGAGUUGGAGCCAUCGUUGAGAUACCACUCAAAACAUAUCGCAUCUCUAACCCCGCUAUAUAGCGGGGAACAGUGUCAGUUGGACAGUUUACCUGGGGCGGGUGCCUCCUAAAAUGUAACGGAGGCGUACAAAGGUUUGCUUAUUACGGAUGGAAACCGUGCUGGACGUGUAUUAGCAUAAGCAAGCUUGACUGUGAGACUAACAGGUCGAACAGGUACGAAAGUAGGUUAAAGUGAUCCGGAUCUUCCAAGUGGAAGGGGAUCCGCUCAACGGAUAAAAGUUACUCCGGGGAUAACAGGCUAAUGGUAUCUAAGCGUUCAUAGCGACGAUACCGUUUGGCACCUCGAUGUCGGCUCGUCGCAUCCUGGGGCUGUAGAAGGUCCCAAGGGUUGGGUUGUUCACCCAUUAAAGCGGGACGCGAGCUGGGUUCAGAACGUCGUGAGACAGUUCGGUCCCUAUCUACUGUAACCGUAGGCAAUUUGAAAGAUCCUGACCCUAGUACGAGAGGACCGGGUUGGACAAGCCUCUGGUAGUACCAGUUGUCGUACCAACGGCACCGCUGGAUAGCUAUGCUUGGAAAAGAUAACCACUGAAAGCAUCUAAGUGGGAAACUUGUCUUAAGAUUAGAUUGCCCUCUCUUUAUGAGUUAAGAGCCCUGCGAGACUAGCAGGUUGAUAGGCGUUAUGUGUAAGUCUAGUAAUAGAUUGAGCAGAAACGUACUAAUAGCUCGAGCGAGUUUUGU